AAUUUUGCAAAAUAUUAAUUGAUGCAAUGUAAAGGACCGUUCAAGAGCCUCCAGAGAUUUGGAUAGUUUAACCCAUUCACUGCCUCGAGGAUCUGCUCGUUGCUGUGGAUUUCUGGCAGAUAAUCUGUGUUUUUUCACUGGUCCCUACUGCAAAGGUGUAAAUCUCUGAGAGGCUGGAAUCAAUCUACAGACUUGGAUGUUUCAUUAACACUCAGAUGUGAGCACCAGUGAUGUAAAUUCCAUCAUUCCACUCCACACUGCAGCAUAUCUGAGAGAGCUUUUCCAUGGCUGUGCAUGACAUCUGAAGUCCCCAGGAUAUCAAUCAACACACAUAAGAAGUGGAUUUCAUGACUACAGUAUAAAAUACCAACAAGGGCAC